rnacentral:rRNA from 1 species
GCAAGCAUGACCCAGUGACGCCGCGUGGGGGAUGAAGGCCUUCGGGUCGUAAACCCCUGUCAGGAGGGAAGAAUGUCUGAUGGGUUAAGAGCCCAUUGGACUGACGGUACCUCCAGAGGAAGCCACGGCUAACUCCGUGCCAGCAGCCGCGGUAAUACGGAGGUGGCAAGCGUUACUCGGAAUCACUGGGCGUAAAGCGCGCGUAGGCGGGAAGGUAAGUCGGCCGUGUAAGCCCGGGGCUCAACCCCGGAACUGCGGCCGAAACUGCCUUCCUUGAGUCCCGGAGAGGCCGGCGGAAUUCCCGGUGUAGGGGUGAAAUCCGUAGAUAUCGGGAGGAACACCGGUGGGGAAGCCGGCCAGCUGGACGGUCCCUGACGCUGAGGCACGAAAGCGUGGGGAGCAAACCGGAUUAGAUACCCGGGUAGUCCACGCUGUAAACGAUGGGCGCUAGGUCUGGGGAGGUAAUCUCUCUGGGCCGAAGCUAACGCGUUAAGCGCCCCGCCUGGGGAGUACGGCCGCAAGGCUGAAACUCAAAGGAAUUGACGGGGGCCCGCACAAGCGGAGGAACAUGUGGUUUAAUUCGAUGAUACGCGAGGAACCUUACCUGGGCUUAAAUGUAUGAUGACCGCUUCUGAAAAGGAGUUUCCCUUCGGGGCAUUAUACAAGGUGCUGCAUGGUUGUCGUCAGCUCGUGCCGUGAGGUGUCGGGUUAAGUCCCAUAACGAGCGCAACCCUUAUCGUUAGUUGUCAGCGGGUAAUGCCGGAUACUCUAGCGAGACUGCUCUGGUAACGGAGAGGAAGGUGGGGAUGGCGUCAAAUCAGCACGGCCCUUAUGUCCAGGGCGACACACGUGUUACAAUGGUCGGUACAAAGAGCAGCUACCUGGUGACAGGGCGCUAAUCUCAAAAAGCCGAUCUCAGUUCGGAUUGGAGUCUGCAACUCGACUCCAUGAAGUUGGAUUCGCUAGUAAUCGCACAUCAGCCAUGGUGCGGUGAAUACGUUCCCGGGCCUUGUACACACCGCCCGUCAAGCCAUGGAAGCCGGGGGUACCUGAAGUCCGUAACCGAGAGGAGCGGCCUAGGGUAAAACUGGUAACUGGGGCUAAGUCGUAACAAGGUAGCCGUACCGGAAGGUGCGGCUG